GACGAACGCUGGCGGCGUGCUUAACACAUGCAAGUCGAGCGGAAAGGCCACUUCGGUGGUACUCGAGCGGCGAACGGGUGAGUAACACGGGAGUAAUCUGCCCCUGGCUUUGGGAUAGCCACCGGAAACGGUGAUUAAUACCGGAUAGGACCACUUCUCGCAUGGGAUGGGGGUGGAAAGUUUUUUCGGCCAGGGAUGUGCUCGCGGCCUAUCAGCUUGAUGGUGAGGUAAUGGCUCACCAUGGCUUCGACGGGUAGCCGGCCUGAGAGGGUGACCGGUCACACUGGGACUGAGACACGGCCCAGACUCCUACGGGAGGCAGCAGUGAGGAAUAUUGGACAAUGGGCGGAAGCCUGAUCCAGCAACGCCGCGUGAGGGAUGACGGCCUUCGGGUUGUAAACCUCUUUCAGCAGGGACGAAGCGCAAGUGACGGUACCUGCAGAAGAAGCACCGGCCAACUACGUGCCAGCCGCCGCCGUAA
rnacentral:rRNA from 1 species